rnacentral:misc_RNA from 1 species
GCGUCGAUGAAGAGCGCAGCCAGCUGCGUGAAUUAAUGUGAAUUGCAGGACACACUGAACAUCGACACCUUGAACGCACAUUGCGGCUCUGGCUCACUGCCAGAGCCACGCCUGUCCGAGGGUCGGCGAACAAGUCAUCGCACCCCGAGCGCUUUCGAGCGAUAUCGGGGAGCGCGUUGGCGUGUCGCGCGGGCACCGUCCCGCUCGUCCGCCGCAGACUUCAGCCUCUCCCUUGGCUGCCCGUCGAAGUGGCGCGGGGACAGGGCUCGAACGGGCCUUCUGUCUGGCGCACGUCCGCUGCUCUCACCGGCAGUGGACGACCUUCUAGGGCGGCUCGCGGCCUUCGGGUCGUGUUCGGGUGGAGCGCGGUCACCAUGUGAACGCGAACUGUGAGAGACGCCGUGAGGUGUCGCUCGCUCAUCCGACCUCGGAUCAGACGGGAAUACCCGCUGAAUUUAAGCAUAUCAGUAAGCGGAGGAAAAGAAACU